rnacentral:rRNA from 1 species
UGGGGAAUUUUCCGCAAUGGGGGAAAGCCUGACGGAGCAAUACCGCGUGAGGGAGGAAUGCCUUUGGGUUGUAAACCUCUUUUCUCAGGGAAGAAGAUCUGACGGUACCUGAGGAAUAAGUAUCGGCUAACUCCGUGCCAGCAGCCGCGGUAAUACGGAGGAUGCAAGCGUUAUCCGGAAUCAUUGGGCGUAAAGCGUCCGCAGGUGGUUUCCAAAGUCUGCUGUUAAAGACUGGAGCUCAACUCCGGAACGGCGGUGGAAACUUGGAAACUAGAGUUCGGUAGGGGUAGCAGGAAUUCCCAGUGUAGCGGUGAAAUGCGUAGAUAUUGGGAAGAACAUCGGUGGCGAAGGCGUGCUACUGGACCGUAACUGACACUCAGGGACGAAAGCUAGGGGAGCGAAAGGGAUUAGAUACCCCUGUAGUCCUAGCUGUAAACGAUGGAAACUAGGUGUGGCUUGA